rnacentral:misc_RNA from 1 species
GAGCUUCCUCAGAAGGCUCAACAAGACAAUUGAAAAGUCAUGAUCAAAAUUCAGAAAGUAAUAAGCUUGCACCACUGGUAGAAACAUAUAGUUAAACUAGGAGAAGAAAAAUCAGAUUAAAUUUUUUUUUCUUGACUCCACAGGUUCAAAUUAAAAGUGGACAUAGCAUAAUUGAUCAAACUUUAUUCGUAAUUGCACCAGCUUCCACAAAUUUCUAGAAACAAAAAAAAUCUUAUCAAAUUAAUCUAAGUUGACAAUAUUAAAAUGUUAUAGCACCAAAAUCACAAGCAUUCCAAAUUGUUUUCUUCAUCUGGAGAUAUAUAUUUUUUUAAUCAGGGACUGCACCCUAGAAUUCAUUGUGCAAUAAGC